CGGACGGGUGAGUAAUGUAUAGGAACUUGCCUAGUAGUGGGGGAUAACGUGUGGAAACGCACGCUAAUACCGCAUACGCUCUACGGAGGAAAGCGGGGGAUCUUCGGACCUCGUGCUACUAGAUGGGCCUUUAUCAGAUUAGCUAGUUGGUAAGGUAAUGGCUUACCAAGGCGACGAUCUGUAGCUGGUUUGAGAGAAUGAUCAGCCACACUGGGACUGAGACACGGCCCAG
rnacentral:rRNA from 1 species